UACCACAGCCAUUAAUCAACCUGCAGCUCAAGACUGGUUACUUAUGAUACUGGCAAGCUUAGCUAUAAGCAGAGCUAAGCUUGGUCAGUACCUGGAUGGGAGACCACAUGGGAAAACUAGGUUGCUGUUGGAA
rnacentral:rRNA from 1 species